CCUACGGGAGGCAGCAGUAGGGAAUCUUUCACAAUGGGCGAAAGCCUGAUGGAGCAACGCCGCGUGCAGGAUGAAGGCCUUCGGGUUGUAAACUGCUUUUAUAAGCGAGAAAUAUGAUGGUAACUUAUGAAUAAGGAUCGGCUAACUACGUGCCAGCAGCCGCGGUCAUACGUAGGAUCCGAGCAUUAUCCGGAGUGACUGGGUGUAAAGAGUUGCGUAGGUGGCAUAAUAAGUAGCUAGUGAAAUCUGGUGGCUCAACCAUUCAGACUAUUAGCUAAACUGUUAAGCUCGAGACCGUUAGGCGUAACUGGAAUUUCUAGUGUAGGAGUGAAAUCCAUAGAUAUUAGAAGGAACACCAAUAGCGUAGGCAGGUUGCUGGGACGGUUCUGACACUAAGGCACGAAAGCGUAGGGAGCAAACGGGAUUAGAUACCCCAGUAGUC
rnacentral:rRNA from 1 species